CCUACGGGAGGCAGCAGUGAGGAAUAUUGGUCAAUGGACGAGAGUCUGAACCAGCCAAGUAGCGUGAAGGAUGACUGCCCUAUGGGUUGUAAACUUCUUUUAUAUGGGAAUAAAAUGUUCCACGUGUGGGAUUUUGUAUGUACCAUAUGAAUAAGGAUCGGCUAACUCCGUGCCAGCAGCCGCGGUAAUACGGAGGAUCCGAGCGUUAUACGGAUUUAGUGGGGUUAAAGGGAGCGUAGGUGGAUUGUUAAGUCCGUUUUGAAAGUUUGCGGCGCAACCGUAAAAUUGCAGUUGAAACUGGCAGUCUUUAGUACAGUAGAGGUGGGCCGAUUUCGUGUUGUAGCGGUUACAUGCUUAGAUAUCACG
rnacentral:rRNA from 1 species